UACAGAGGGUGCGAGCGUUGUCCGGAAUCACUGGGCGUAAAGGGCGCGUAGGUGGCGCAACAAGUCAGUGGUGAAAGCUCGACGCUCAACGUCGAGUCGGCCACUGAGACUGUUGGGCUUGAGCACUGUAGAGGCUAAUGGAAUUCCGGGUGUAGCGGUGGAAUGCGUAGAGAUCCGGAAGAACACCGGUGGCGAAGGCGGUUAGCUGGGCAGUUGCUGACACUGAGGCGCGACAGCGUGGGGAGCAAACAGG
rnacentral:rRNA from 1 species